rnacentral:tRNA from 1 species
GCGCCUGUAGCUCAGCUGGAUAGAGCAACGGACUUCGAAUCCGUAGGCCGGGGGUUCAAGCCCCUCCAGGCGCG